GGGCUCGCAGGCGGUUUCUUAAGUCUGAUGUGAAAGCCCCCGGCUCAACCGGGGAGGGUCAUUGGAAACUGGGAAACUUGAGUGCAGAAGAGGAGAGUGGAAUUCCACGUGUAGCGGUGAAAUGCGUAGAGAUGUGGAGGAACACCAGUGGCGAAGGCGACUCUCUGGUCUGUAACUGACGCUGAGGAGCGAAAGCGUGGGGAGCGAACAGGAUUAGAUACCCUGGUAGUCCACGCCGUAAACGAUGAGUGCUAAGUGUUAGGGGGUUUCCGCCCCUUAGUGCUGCAGCUAACGCAUUAAGCACUCCGCCUGGGGAGUACGGUCGCAAGACUGAAACUCAAAGGAAUUGACGGGGGCCCGCACAAGCGGUGGAGCAUGUGGUUUAAUUCGAAGCAACGCGAAGAACCUUACCAGGUCUUGACAUCCUCUGACAACCCUAGAGAUAGGGCUUUCCCUUCGGGGACAGAGUGACAGGUGGUGCAUGGUUGUCGUCAGCUCGUGUCGUGAGAUGUUGGGUUAAGUCCCGCAACGAGCGCAACCCUUGAUCUUAGUUGCCAGCAUUCAGUUGGGCACUCUAAGGUGACUGCCGGUGACAAACCGGAGGAAGGUGGGGAUGACGUCAAAUCAUCAUGCCCCUUAUGACCUGGGCUACACACGUGCUACAAUGGACAGAACAAAGGGCUGCAAGACCGCAAGGUUUAGCCAAUCCCAUAAAUCUGUUCUCAGUUCGGAUCGCAGUCUGCAACUCGACUGCGUGAAGCUGGAAUCGCUAGUAAUCGCGGAU
rnacentral:rRNA from 1 species